AAAGACAUUAAGUUUGAUCCGGCACGGCGGAGGAUCUCUCUCUCUCCUCUCUCCUCUCUCUCCCCCCUCUCUCUCACCCCCUCUCUCUCUUUUUUCCCCCCUUUCCCUCGCUUAAAUCUCCUCGCGUCCAGCUAAGCAUGAACUCCAGAGACAGACCCCACCGGAGAGGACUGAGCCAAUUUCUUCAGCUUGCCAGAUCAAUCUGGAUUCCAGCCUGUCCUCCAAUUUGAAAGCAAUCUCUGCAGUAUCAUAGAAUCUGUAGCUGUAGCUGUAUCCUCUAACUUAUGUCACCACUGACGGCAAUAAAAUGAAGAAUGUAAAAUACAGCCAUUUCAGCUGAGUUGUGAGCUAUGACUGCAUGAGGUUAAGGGCUCAUGACAUGUAUGCAUGCUUGCUGCGAACACUACAGAAGAGGUGUUUUUGUAUCAACUCCAAAGAAUUUAGGUGAGAGCAAAUGCCUUUUUCACUUUUUGGUUCUGUUUGCCUUGACAUAAUUCUGCUAUCCAAAACCCCAAGGGAAAAUAUUUCAACAAAGAGACAGUCUUUGGUGAUUAAACUGUCAUGAAACAGAGAUGAAGUUGGUGGGAUCAAUUGGCUCUCACCGUGCCUUGACGCAGCUGUGGCUUGGAUGAGCAGGACUGGUUAUGACUCAAUCUGACUAGGAUGGGAUCAUGCCAGAGGUCAGGGGAACCAGCUACUUACAGAAGCACAGGCAGGUCUUUUCUCCUUCAGGUUUUCCUAUUUUAACGCUGGUGAUUUGUCACACUUACAGAAUGAAGAAAGUGUCCCCAGCACAGUCUUCAUCAUCAUGGACCCCUGUUACUUGGAGUGAUGCUGUUGCAGUCCAGCACCUCCAACCCUCAUCUUUAGCAGGACCAAUGCAAGGAUCUGAAAGAUCUCUUUGCAAGAGACAGCCAAAGCUUGGGGAGCCACCCUGGUUUCCUAGGUUACUUGAGCAGACAGGCCAGGACCUCAUUUUAAGGGAUUCUUACAUGGCUCCAUUACUGAAGCAACUGAAAAUCAGUGAAAACGCUGGUAAAGGUGAUGUCUGUCAUUCCAUAUUCUGGCUCUGCCCUAUUUUCUUCUUUGCCUUUUAUUUUAACCCUCCUGAAGGAACAGUGUCUCAGCCUCAUCCGAUAGUGUCCUUGUGUAAUAGCAAAGAGGCUUCAACUGCUGACUUUGAGACAUGGUGCUCUGUUGAAUAGUGAGGGAACUGUAUUAUGGAGAUAAAUUUUUGUCUCAGUUCAGUAAACUCCACGAUUUGUUGACCAGCAAAUGAUGUCAUGAACCCUGUUGACUCUCCCCACAGGGCACAAUGUGCAAGAAGUACUCGUGGCUUCUUCUCUUGCAUGGGUUUGAAAGGAUCUGGAAAGACUGCUGCAUACUGACAUGAAGAGACUGCUUUGAACACAAACACGUAUCACAGCAAAGUUUAAAGAAACGUCAAACUUCUGAACUAAUAAAGUAAAACUGGAAUGAUGUGCAUAUCAAUAAAGGCAAGAAACUAUGCCCAUAUGGCUUGGCUUAGUGGUCUUUCUGUGCGAAUCCUUAAACAGGAAUGAAUUCACUCUCUAGCUGGGUUUUGUUAGAGUUUAAAAAGAAACUCAGCAAGGGCUGACCCAAACCGAUGCUGCUUAAAUUGAAUCUAAGCUGUAGCUUCCAUAAAUCAUGUUAGCAGAUUAAAGUUACAAUUGAAAGGUCUUGAUUUGUAGGCACCAGACUGUAAAUUAGCUACUGAAGUAGAGGGCUGUGAAUUUAAGAACCUGACUGGGAACACCCAUCGUAUAUUACAUGUAUUUGGCAAUACGCCUCCAUUAAGGGACCAAAGAAAACAGCACAGCCGUGACUGAUCAAGUGGAAGAGAAGUAAUACAAAACACCCACCACGGUUUUGUUGCUUCUGGAAUAUCCUGGAGAGAGUCAAGACGUGAAAAGUAAGCAAGAGAGUCUGAAUCUUGCCUUUUGGUAAAUAUUCAUCCUUCUGCUGGUGCAAUUCCUUAUUUUUGCAGUAUUCCUGAAAACAUUUUCUCACGUUCUUUGGGCAGAUUCAGGCUCAUACACAUUUUUUGCAGCAGUAGGCCACUCUCUUGGUUCACUAUGGGGGCCCAAUUUGAAAGGUUAACUGCAAAUGCCACGUUAUAAUCAUCUGCAUCUACAUCAAUUAGCUUUUAUGGCUGCCUGUGCUUAAUAUGUGGAGUUCAGCUUUGCAUUUAACACAUUCCUAAAACUAUCUGCAACCCCUCUCUAAGCUUCCUCUCUUCCCGCAAUUUCCUUCACCAUAACAUUUAUUCUGUGCUUGUUGUUUUCUUCUCACACAGUGUAGUAGGCUUAUGGUACACUCUCUGUUUUAGUAAAGUCUGUUUCUUUGCUUAGAAAAGCUGCAAAUAAAUGGCAUAUUUCUUAUGUUGGGAAGAAUGAAUGUGGAAUAUUACAUUAAUCGCUAAGUACAGAACUUCUCAAGUUUCCCAUAUUCACUGGAAAUAUAUGGGGCAUGAAAACUUUAGAGAGACUGAAGAAUGUUUGAGGAGGUUAUUGAACAGCAUAUAAAUAGCUGUGACAUAAUUUGGGAGCAAAUUAUGUCAUGACAGCAUCUUGUGAUGUACUUUGUGCAGUUAAAUGGUCACACUGCAAUGCUGGCUAAA